CUCUCUUUUUUUUUUUUUUUUUUUUUUUUUUUUUUUUUUAUGCUUGAGUGUUUUCUUCACCACCUUUGGGCUGCUCCCUUCAAGAGGAUUUUCUGGUUUAUGAUUGUGGAUGACUGUCUCACUGCUCUGAAACAAGACUGAUAAGGUUCUCUAACUGAGGGGUUUGGUGUCUAAUUACUCUUAUAACCAAGUGCUGCUUUUCAACCCAAAGGUAGACUAGCCAUAGUUUGUUUAUAAAUUUUAUUAAUGUGAAACUAAUCCCAGCCCUGUUUUGUAAGGCCGCAUCUGCAAUCUGAUGUAGAAAAAUCCACAGUCAGCUUCAGGAGUGGCUGGAUCCAGUCACAGGGUGUGCUGCUGCUGUGAUUUGGAAAACUCUUGCAUAAUAUGUUUUUGGGUGAUUUUUUUUGUUUGCCUAGGUGACUAUUGGAGACUUCAUCCUGCUGCCUUGUUGGACAGGCUUAUUCAAGGAGUGCUGUUGGUGUCACCUUUCUGGCUAAAGCUUUUUUUUUUUUUCUUUAAAAAAAAGCAAAACAAAACCAAAGAACCCAAUACAAACAAUGAAGUUUGAUGGGGGGUGUUUGGUGGUCUUUUUUUGUUUGGGUUUUUUUUGUUCGUUUUGUUUUUGUUGUGGGUUUGUUUUUUGUUUUUUUAAAAAGAAAAGCAUCUGAUCUAAGACACCCUGGCCAGGCAUCUGGUUCUUACUGUCUUCAUACAGCGUUCCGAAAUCAGUUUGUGUUUGCUUCCAUUUGUCUCCUGUCUUAUGUUUUUCCAAAGUCUGUCAUUGUUUCCCCUCCCACCCAGCAGUUUUUCUACAAGAUUUUUCCUUACUUGCAGAACUGGUCAUGAUCUUGCAGCAGUCACAUUACCACAAUGAUGUCUUUUAUAGUUUCCAGCAUGUACUGUUGGGCCCUUCUUCCGCUAAAUGCCCGUGUCCAAAUCUUUCAGGUUUUUUUGCUCUUUCCUGGUAACUCUGAUUAAAUGUUGAUGUCACGUGUAGUUAUAAGCCACCUUUCUUAACCUCAGGGAGACUCCCGCUUAAAGUGAAUUUAGAAGUGUUAAGCAAAUUCCAGUCUGCUCUUGUACAAUAUAACGUUUGCUGAAUGGUACUUUACACUGUGUACAUAAAUAAAAGUUAUUUUAUUGAA